GAAGUAAAGUCGUACAAGGUUCCGUAGUGAACCUGCGGAAGGAUCAUUAAAAAUGUGGUACCAUUUGGUACUAAUUAAUCAUCCUACCCUUUGUGAAUUUGUUUGUAAUGAAUUUUUUAAAUGGUCUUCCCUAAGUUGGAUUGUAGUAAAAUACAAAAAGACUUAGGGAGGACUUUUUUAAAGACUUUUUUUAAUUAAAACUUUUUGUAUUCAUUUGUCUAAAAUUUAUUUUAUAAUAUAAAAACAACUUUUGACAAUGGAUCUCUGGUUCUCGCAACGAUGAAGAACGCAGCAAAAUGCGAUAAGUAGUGUGAAUGCAGAAUACGUGAAUCAUCGAUCUUCGAACGCAUAUUGCACUUUUUAGUUUACUAAAAAGUAUGUCUGUUUGAGUAUCAGUAAAUAUUCUCACAAACAUAUAUUGUUUGUGGUAUGAGUGUUUUACAACGAUAACAAGUGUUUCACUUUAAAUUCUUUUAUUGAAUUUUAUACCAAUUACAAAUUAAAAUUGGAUAAAUUUUCCUUUAACGAGGAAUAACCUAACAAUUUUAAUUUUAUGGUUUGUAAAAUCCAUAAAGAAUCUUAUACAUAAAUAACUUGAUCUCAAUCAGAUAAGAGUACCCGCUGAACUUAAGCAUAUCAAUAAGCGGAGGAAAAGAAACUAACAAGGAUUCCCUUAGUAACGGCGAGUGAAGCGGGAAGAGCUCAAAUUUGAAAUCUUCAAGGUUUGACCUUGACGAAUUGUAGUUUAUAGAAGUGUUUCUGUUGGAGUUUUGGUAAAAGUUCUUUGAAUAGGACAUCAUAGAGGGUGAGAAUCCGUAUUUGACCAUGACUUUCCAGCUGUGUGAUACACUUUCAAGAGUCGAUUGUUUGGAAUGCAGUCAAAAUGGGUGUAAAUUUCAUCUAAAGCUAAAUAUUGGCGAGAGACCGAUAGCGAACAAGUACCGUGAGGGAAAGAUGAAAAGAACUUUGAAAGAGAGUUAAACAGUACGUGAAAUUGUCAAAAGGGAAGCGUUGACACCAAUGUUGUUUUCUCGAAAAUCAAUUUAAUGAGUUCUUGUUUUAAGUUAUUGUGACUUUAUCAGCGCAUUUCUUAUUUUACUUGACUCAUUGAAUGCACUUUCGUUUAACAAGUCAACAUCAAUUUCUUGGUGGUAAAAAGUUUAAAGGAAGGUGGCUUGGACUUCGGUUCAAGUGUUUAUAGCCUUUUUCUAUGCCAUCGGAGAGAUUGAGGUCUGCAGCGUAGAUCCUUCGGGUUAGAUACCUUUGUGCUAAGUUAUAGUUUUUAUAGACAACUUGUGACUAUAAUUAACCUGUAAUUUACUCGCUUAGCUAUUUUACCUACGCUUAGGAUGUUGAG
rnacentral:misc_RNA from 1 species